UUCCACAUACAGAACGCUGAAAAUGCAAUAUGGCCACUGAAAACUUGUACAUUCUACUGUUAUCUGCAAUGCUUGCAGCUCAAUUCAUAUCCGCGCAAGACAACGACGCCCAAGACAGCAGUAGUCAAUGGUUGGGCUCCAUUUCCGAAAACCGCUCCAGAAGCGGGAUCAGGAAACGGCAAAUUAAUAUUUUAGUACCACAAGGCAUCUGUGAUUAUAGCAAAGAGCCUGACUGGGCGUGUUUCAACUCUACUAGUCAACAAUUCUGUAUGAAGAACAAUCUACUGUUUAUUUUUGACUGCACCGAUGAUAGACCUUUCUGUAGCGAUGGACACUGCUGCCGCAAUUCUAAUUGUCUCACAUGAGUAUAAAAUUCUAAUAUGAAAUACAUA